UAGGGGGCAAGCGUUAUCCGGAUUUACUGGGUGUAAAGGGAGCGUAGACGGCGAAGAAAGUCUGAAGUGAAAGCCCGCGGCUUAACCGCGGAACUGCUUUGGAAACUUUUUUGCUGGAGUACCGGAGAGGUAAGCGGAAUUCCUAGUGUAGCGGUGAAAUGCGUAGAUAUUAGGAGGAACACCAGUGGCGAAGGCGGCUUACUGGACGGUAACUGACGUUGAGGCUCGAAAGCGUGGGGAGCAAA
rnacentral:rRNA from 1 species